AUUGAACGCUGGCGGCAGGCUUAACACAUGCAAGUCGAGCGGAGCGAGGGUGCUUGCACCUUAGCUUAGCGGCGGACGGGUGAGUAAUGCUUAGGAAUCUGCCUAUUAGUGGGGGACAACAUUCCGAAAGGAAUGCUAAUACCGCAUACGCCCUACGGGGGAAAGCAGGGGAUCUUCGGACCUUGCGCUAAUAGAUGAGCCUAAGUCGGAUUAGCUAGUUGGUGGGGUAAAGGCCUACCAAGGCGACGAUCUGUAGCGGGUCUGAGAGGAUGAUCCGCCACACUGGGACUGAGACACGGCCCAGACUCCUACGGGAGGCAGCAGUGGGGAAUAUUGGACAAUGGGCGCAAGCCUGAUCCAGCCAUGCCGCGUGUGUGAAGAAGGCCUUUUGGGUUGUAAAGCACUUUAAGCGAGGAGGAGGCUACUUAGAUUAAUACUCUAGGAUAGUGGACGUUACUCGCAGAAUAAGCACCGGCUAACUCUGUGCCAGCAG
rnacentral:rRNA from 1 species